rnacentral:snoRNA from 1 species
ACGGCAUGAUGGGGACAUUUCCUGAUUAGGUCCUUUAAUUUUUCCCAUGACUCAUGGAACUACUCACCAUAUUGCUGAGAAAAGCUAGUGAGAGCUCUUUUUAUCUGU